rnacentral:lncRNA from 1 species
CACCAUUUACAAAUGCUAUAUUUUGUGAUAUAGCCUUUUCUUGGAACUACAUAAUUCAAUUUCCUCCUUUGCACUAACAGGCCACGCAAGGUCCCUAGGACGGCAGCCAGUGAUGCAAGACAGUCUCCCAUGUGGACAUUGCGGCAGAAUGCCUAAACCAACUGCGUGCAGUGAAAGCAUCACAGGGUUCCAAGGAAAAUCACGACUUUCCCUACUUUUUCUGUAUGUCGUUGGCAGAACAGCUGCGCUUGCUAAGCCCCCACCAGCAGGUAGAUGCUGUAACAGCACUGCAACAAGUGAUGCUCGAAAAGAUCAACGAAGCAAGGCUGGAACGUGAAUUAGGCAAUUAGCUAU